rnacentral:rRNA from 1 species
UACGAAGGGGGCUAGCGUUGCUCGGAAUUACUGGGCGUAAAGGGAGCGUAGGCGGACAUUUAAGUCAGAGGUGAAAUCCCGGAGCUUAACUUCGGAACUGCCUUUGAUACUGGAUGUCUUGAGUGUGAGAGAGGUAUGUGGAACUCCGAGUGUAGAGGUGAAAUUCGUAGAUAUUCGGAAGAACACCAGUGGCGAAGGCGACAUACUGGCUCAUUACUGACGCUGAGGCUCGAAAGCAUGGGGAGCAAACAGG